rnacentral:rRNA from 1 species
AGAGCACUCCUACGGGAGGCAGCAGUGGGGAAUAUUGCACAAUGGGCGCAAGCCUGAUGCAGCCAUGCCGCGUGUAUGAAGAAGGCCUUCGGGUUGUAAAGUACUUUCAGCAGUGAGGAAGUGGAUAUGUUAAUAGCAUAUUCAUUUGACGUUUAGCUGCAGAAGAAGCACCGGCUAACUCCGUGCCAGCAGCCGCGGUAAUACGGAGGGUGCGAGCGUUAAUCGGAAUUACUGGGCGUAAAGCGCAUGCAGGUGGUUUGUUAAGUCAGAUGUGAAAGCCCGGGGCUCAACCUCGGAAUUGCAUUUGAAACUGGCAAACUAGAGUACUGUAGAGGGGGUAGGAAUUUCAGGUGUAGCGGUGAAAUGCGUAGAGAUCUGAAGGAAUACCGGUGGCGAAGGCGGCCCCCUGGACAGAUACUGACACUCAGAUGCGAAAGCGUGGGGAGCAAACAGGAUUAGAUACCCUGGUAG